AACAAGAAACACGGGAGCGGUUCCUCCUCACACUUUCCACGCAUGUCAUGCAUGCGAGGGGGCGUCCGUGAAUUUUACUGUGACCAAAAAAGUGCGACCAAAGCAGUCCGCCGACUUGAAUUACAAAGCAUGGGAUAACGAAGCAUCAGCCCUAGGGCCACCGUUUCGGCUUUUGUUGGUUUUAGCAGCCAUUGGGAGAUUAUGGGAGCCCGUGCCCGGGGCUAUGCCCACGCCUCAUGGCGUGCCUGGCAUAUUCGCCCCUUCUCCCCCCUGCGCGCCUCCCCUGGUGGGGAGAGUGUGGUGGUGGGGAGACGCGCGUUCCCAGGAAUGAAGGAGGGUAGUCGGGGGAGAACGUACUGGUGCGUCAGAGGUGAAAUUCUUAGACCGCACCAAGACGAACUACAGCGAAGGCAUUCUUCAAGGAUACUUUCCUCAAUCAAGAACCAAAGUGUGGGGAUCAAAGAUGAUUAGAGACCAUUGUAGUCCACACUGCAAACCAUGACACCCAUGAAUUGGGGAGCGCUACUGUGGUUCCCCGUGCUUCGGCGUCUUCGUGACGCCGUCUCACGGUCCCAGUACUUAACAAUUUACGUGCCUAUUCUUAUAUUCCGCCUGGCGUGCUUCGUUGUACGCCAUGGCGGUUCUUACGGGAAUAUCCUCAGCAC
rnacentral:rRNA from 1 species